GUGUCAUAGAGCAAUGGGACUGAAGCUGGUGGCCCUCUGGAGUCGCCCCAGGGGCUGGUAAAAUAAGACCCCACCCCCAGCCAUAGAUUCUGAUUUAAUUGGUCUGCAGUAGGGCCUUGACUUGGCUCAUUUUCAUUUUAUAUUUUAAACUUUUUAUUUUGUAUCAGGGUAUAGCAGAUUAACAAUGUUGUGGUGGUUUCAGGUGAACAGCAAAGGACAGCCUGGAGCAGCCGGACAUUUCCCCAUGGCUUUUCUGCUGCUCGUGGCCAAGUGCUUCCUGUGAUCCCCACCCCUCUCACAGGAACCCCAUCUCCCAGGCUUGCACCCUGUCCUUUGGGAUAGUCAAAACCAGAUGCCGAGUUCAACACCAAGUUCCAGGGGCAGCUGGGCUCCACCGUCUGCAUGGAUCAGUCAUCUUUGCUUCUCAAAGUCCUUGCAGUUGACCAUUCUUGGCAGUAGCAUUGUGACUCCUACGAUGGCAAUC